GUACGUAGGUGGCAAGCGUUGUCCGGAUUUAGCUGGGCGUAAAGCGCGCGCAGGCGGUUCGUUAAGUCCGGUGUGAAAGCCCCCGGCUCAACUGGGAGAGGUCCUUGGAUACUGGCGGACUUGGAGGGAGGUAGAGGAAAGUGGAAUUCCCGGUGUAGUGGUGAUAUGCGUAGAUAUCGGGAGGAACACCAGUGGCGAAGGCGGCUUUCUGGGCCUUACCUGACGCUGAGACGCGAAAGCGUGGGGAGCGAACCGG
rnacentral:rRNA from 1 species